UACGUAGGUGCCGAGCGUUGUUCCGGAAUUAUUGGGCGUAAAGAGCUCGUAGGCGGUUUGUCACGUCUGCUGUGAAAUCCCGAGGCUCAACCUCGGGCCUGCAGUGGGUACGGGCAGACUGGAGUGCGGUAGGGGAGAAUGGAAUUCCUGGUGUAGCGGUGGAAUGCGCAGAUAUCAGGAGGAACACCGAUGGCGAAGGCAGUUCUCUGGGCCGUAACUGACGCUGAGGAGCGAAAGCGUGGGGAGCGAACAGG
rnacentral:rRNA from 1 species